GACGGAGGGUGCUAGCGUUGUUCGGAAUUACUGGGCGUAAAGGGUGCGUAGGCGGCAUCGCAAGUCAUGGGUGAAAGCCCGGGGCUCAACCCCGGAAUUGCCCGUGAAACUGCGGAGCUCGAGGCCGAGAGAGGGGGGUGGAAUACCCAGUGUAGAGGUGAAAUUCGUAGAUAUUGGGUGGAACACCGGUGGCGAAAGCGGCCCCCUGGCUCGGUUCUGACGCUGAGGCACGAAAGCGUGGGGAGCAAACAGG
rnacentral:rRNA from 1 species